rnacentral:misc_RNA from 1 species
GUAACAAGGUUUCCGUAGGUGAACCUGCGGAAGGAUCAUUAAAUAAUCAAUAAUCUUGGCUUGUCCAUUAUUAUCUAUUUACUGUGAACUGUAUUAUUAUUUGACAUUUGAGGGAUGUUCCAAUGUUAUAAGGAUAGACAUUGGAAAUGUUAACCGAGUCAUAAUCAGGUUUAGGCCUGGUAUCCUAUUAUUAUUUACCAAAUGAAUUCAGAAUUAAUAUUGUAACAUAGACCUAAAAAAUCUAUAAAACAACUUUUAACAACGGAUCUCUUGGUUCUCGCAUCGAUGAAGAACGUAGCAAAGUGCGAUAACUAGUGUGAAUUGCAUAUUCAGUGAAUCAUCGAGUCUUUGAACGCAACUUGCGCUCAUUGGUAUUCCAAUGAGCACGCCUGUUUCAGUAUCAAAACAAACCCUCUAUCCAACUUUUGUUGUAUAGGAUUAUUGGGGGCCUCUCGAUCUGUAUAGAUCUUGAAAUCCCUGAAAUUUACUAAGGCCUGAACUUGUUUAAAUGCCUGAACUUUUUUUUAAUAUAAAGGAAAGCUCUUGUAAUUGACUUUGAUGGGGCCUCCCAAAUAAAUCUCUUUUAAAUUUGAUCUGAAAUCAGGCGGGAUUACCCGCUGAACCUAAGCAUAUC